AGCGUACACGGUGGAUGCCCUGGCAGUCAGAGGCGAUGAAGGACGUGCUAAUCUGCGAUAAGCGUCGGUAAGGUGAUAUGAACCGUUAUAACCGGCGAUUUCCGAAUGGGGAAACCCAGUGUGUUUCGACACACUAUCAUUAACUGAAUCCAUAGGUUAAUGAGGCGAACCGGGGGAACUGAAACAUCUAAGUACCCCGAGGAAAAGAAAUCAACCGAGAUUCCCCCAGUAGCGGCGAGCGAACGGGGAGCAGCCCAGAGCCUGAAUCAGUUUUAAAAGAACACUCUGGAAAGUGUGGCCAUAGACGGUGAUAGCCCGGUAUUUGAAAAGGCUUUUAAAGUGAAAAUCGAGUAGGUCGGAGCACGAGAAACUUUGWCUGAAYAUGGGGGGACCAUCCUCCAAGGCUAAAUACUCCUAAUCGACCGAUAGUGAACYAGUACCGUGAGGGAAAGGCGAAAAGAACCCCGGAGAGGGGAGUGAAAUAGAUCCUGAAACCGUAUGCGUACAAGCAGUSRGAGCGGAUCWUGUKCYGUGACUGCGUACCUUUUGUAUAAUGGGUCAGCGACUUACUUUCAGUGGCRAGCUUAACCGWWUAGGGGAGGCGUAGMGAAAKCGAGUCUKAAUAGGGCGUCGAGUCGCUAGGAGUAGACCCGAAACCGGGCGAUCUAUCCAUGGYCAGGKUGAAGGUSRGGUAAYACYKACUGGAGGMCCGAACCCACUUAUGUUGAAAAAUGAGGGGAUGAGCUGUGGAUCGGAGUGAAAGGCUAAUCAAGCCCGGAGAUAGCUGGUUCUCCUCGAAAGCUAUUUAGGUAGCGCCUCGUGUAUAACUGUUGGGGGUAGAGCACUGUUUCGGCUAGGGGGUCAUCCCGACUUACCAACCCGAUGCAAACUCCGAAUACCAACAAGUUCAAUCACGGGAGACACACGGCGGGUGAUAASGUCCGUYGUGRARAGGGAAACARCCCAGACCGCCAGCUAAGGUCCCAAAGUCAUGGUUAAGUGGGAAACGAUGUGGGAAGGCCCAGACAGCCAGGAUGUUGGCUUAGAAGCAGCCAUCAUUUAAAGAAAGCGUAAUAGCUCACUGGUCGAGUCGGCCUGCGCGGAAGAUGUAACGGGGCUAAACCAUGCACCGAAGCUGCGGCAGCGACGCUUAUGCGUUGUUGGGUAGGGGAGCGUUCUGUAAGCCUGCGAAGGUGUGCUGUGAGGCAUGCUGGAGGUAUCAGAAGUGCGAAUGCUGACAUAAGUAACGAUAAAGCGGGUGAAAAGCCCGCUCGCCGGAAGACCAAGGGUUCCUGUCCAACGUUAAUCGGGGCAGGGUGAGUCGACCCCUAAGGCGAGGCCGAAAGGCGUAGUCGAUGGGAAACAGGUUAAUAUUCCUGUACUUGGUGUUACUGCGAAGGGGGGACGGAGAAGGCUAUGUUGGCCGGGCGACGGUUGUCCCGGUUUAAGCGUGUAGGCUGGUUUUCCAGGCAAAUCCGGAAAAUCAAGGCUGAGGCGUGAUGACGAGGCACUACGGUGCUGAAGCAACAAAUGCCCUGCUUCCAGGAAAAGCCUCUAAGCAUCAGGUAACAUCAAAUCGUACCCCAAACCGACACAGGUGGUCAGGUAGAGAAUACCAAGGCGCUUGAGAGAACUCGGGUGAAGGAACUAGGCAAAAUGGUGCCGUAACUUCGGGAGAAGGCACGCUGAUAUGUAGGUGAAGCGACUUGCUCGUGGAGCUGAAAUCAGUCGAAGAUACCAGCUGGCUGCAACUGUUUAUUAAAAACACAGCACUGUGCAAACACGAAAGUGGACGUAUACGGUGUGACGCCUGCCCGGUGCCGGAAGGUUAAUUGAUGGGGUCAGCGCAAGCGAAGCUCUUGAUCGAAGCCCCGGUAAACGGCGGCCGUAACUAUAACGGUCCUAAGGUAGCGAAAUUCCUUGUCGGGUAAGUUCCGACCUGCACGAAUGGCGUAAUGAUGGCCAGGCUGUCUCCACCCGAGACUCAGUGAAAUUGAACUCGCUGUGAAGAUGCAGUGUACCCGCGGCAAGACGGAAAGACCCCGUGAACCUUUACUAUAGCUUGACACUGAACAUUGAGCCUUGAUGUGUAGGAUAGGUGGGAGGCUUUGAAGUGUGGACGCCAGUCUGCAUGGAGCCGACCUUGAAAUACCACCCUUUAAUGUUUGAUGUUCUAACGUUGACCCGUAAUCCGGGUUGCGGACAGUGUCUGGUGGGUAGUUUGACUGGGGCGGUCUCCUCCUAAAGAGUAACGGAGGAGCACGAAGGUUGGCUAAUCCUGGUCGGACAUCAGGAGGUUAGUGCAAUGGCAUAAGCCAGCUUGACUGCGAGCGUGACGGCGCGAGCAGGUGCGAAAGCAGGUCAUAGUGAUCCGGUGGUUCUGAAUGGAAGGGCCAUCGCUCAACGGAUAAAAGGUACUCCGGGGAUAACAGGCUGAUACCGCCCAAGAGUUCAUAUCGACGGCGGUGUUUGGCACCUCGAUGUCGGCUCAUCACAUCCUGGGGCUGAAGUAGGUCCCAAGGGUAUGGCUGUUCGCCAUUUAAAGUGGUACGCGAGCUGGGUUUAGAACGUCGUGAGACAGUUCGGUCCCUAUCUGCCGUGGGCGUUUGAGAUUUGAGAGGAGCUGCUCCUAGUACGAGAGGACCGGAGUGGACGUACCUCUGGUGUUCCGGUUGUCAUGCCAAUGGCAUUGCCGGGUAGCUAUGUACGGACAGGAUAACCGCUGAAAGCAUCUAAGCGGGAAGCCCCCCUCAAGAUGAGAUCUCACUGGACCUUUAAGGUCCCUGAAGGGCCGUUGA
rnacentral:rRNA from 1 species